rnacentral:rRNA from 1 species
AUUCGAUUCUGGCUCAGGAUGAACGCUAGCGACAGGCCUAACACAUGCAAGUCGAGGGGCAGCGCGGGGAAAGCUUGCUUUCCUGGCGGCGACCGGCGCACGGGUGCGUAACAGGUGUGCAAUCUGUCCAUAGUCGGGGGAUAGCCCAGCGAAAGCUGAAUUAACACUCCAUGUGAAUCGAAGCCGCAUGACUUUGAUUUGAAACGCAAGGACUAUGGGUGAGCACGCUUCUGAUUAGGUAGUUGGUGGGGUAACGGCCCACCAAGCCGACGAUCAGUAGGGGUUCUGAGAGGAAGGUCCCCCACAUUGGAACUGAGACACGGUCCAAACUCCUACGGGAGGCAGCAGUGAGGAAUAUUGGUCAAUGGGCGAGAGCCUGAACCAGCCAAGUCGCGUGAAAAGGAUGAAGGUUCUAUGGAUUGUAAACUUCUUUUGUCCGAGGGUAAAAAAGGCCACGUGUGGCUUCUUGCAAGUAUCGGACGAAUAAGCAUCGGCUAACUCCGUGCCAGCAGCGGC